rnacentral:rRNA from 1 species
UCCAGCCUGCCCAGUGACCUAGUUUAACGGCCGCGUACCCUAACCGCGCGAAGGUAGCAUAAUCACUUGUUCUUUAAUUGAGGACUUGUAUCAACGGCACCACGAGGGUUUUACUGUCUCCUCCCCCUAAUCAGUGAAACUAAUCUCCCCGUGAAGAAGCGGGGAUGAACCUAUAAGACGAGAAGACCCCAUGGAGCUUUAAACUAAAUUCAAUCCAACUUGAACACACCCGCAUAUUUAGUAGGAUCCUGUACAUUCAGCUUUAGGUUGGGGUGACCACGGAGUAAAAAUUAACCUCCAUGAUAAACGAAUACUUUUCUUAUCUAAGAAUUACACUUCUAAGAAUUAGUAUACUAAUAUAAAAUGAUCCGAUAAUCGAUCAACGGACCAAGUUACCCUGGGGAUAACAGCGCAAUCCAUUUUAAGAGCCCCUAUCGACAAAUGGGUUUACGACCUCGAUGUUGGAUCAGGAUAUCCUAGUGGUGCAGCAGCUACUGAAGGUUCGUUUGUUCAACGAUUAAAAUCCU